rnacentral:rRNA from 2 species
AGCAGCCGCGGUAAUUCCAGCUCCAAUAGCGUAUAUUAAAGUUGCUGCAGUUAAAAAGCUCGUAGUUGAAUUUCGGGACUAAUAUGUCGGUCGUGCCUCGGUACGUACUGGUUUAUUGGUUUCUCCUUUCUGAAGAACCAUGAUGUCAUUUAUUUGGUGUCGUGGGGAAUCAGGACUGUUACUUUGAAAAAAUUAGAGUGUUUAAAGCAGGCUCACGCUUGAAUACAUUAGCAUGGAAUAAUGAAAUAGGACGUUUGAUUCUAUUUUGUUGGUUUCUAGGAUCGACGUAAUGAUUAAUAGGGAUAGUUGGGGGCAUUAGUAUUCAAUUGUCAGAGGUGAAAUUCUUGGAUUUAUUGAAGACUAACUACUGCGAAAGCAUUUGCCAAGGAUGUUUUCAUUAAUCAAGAACGAAAGUUAGGGGAUCGAAGACGAUCAGAUACCGUCGUAGUCUUAACCAUAAACUAUGCCGACUAGGGAUCGGAUGAUGUUAAUUUUUUAAUGACUCA